rnacentral:rRNA from 1 species
AUUGAACGCUGGCGGCAUGCUUUACACAUGCAAGUCGAACGGUAACAGGUUAAGCUGACGAGUGGCGAACGGGUGAGUAAUGCAUCGGAACGUGCCCGAUCGUGGGGGAUAACGCAGCGAAAGCUGCGCUAAUACCGCAUACGAUCUGAGGAUGAAAGCGGGGGACCGUAAGGCCUCGCGCGAUCGGAGCGGCCGAUGGCAGAUUAGGUAGUUGGUGGGGUAAAGGCCCACCAAGCCGACGAUCUGUAGCUGGUCUGAGAGGACGACCAGCCACACGGGGACUGAGACACGGCCCAGACUCCUACGGGAGGCAGCAGUGGGGAAUUUUGGACAAUGGGCGAAAGCCUGAUCCAGCAAUGCCGCGUGCAGGAAGAAGGCCUUCGGGUUGUAAACUGCUUUUGUACGGAGCGAAAAGGUCCUUUCUAAUACAAGGGGCUCAUGACGGUACCGUAAGAAUAGGCACCGGCUAACUACGUGCCAGCAGCCGCGGUAA